rnacentral:rRNA from 1 species
UACGAGGGGGCGAGCGUUGUUCGGAAUUAUUGGGCGUAAAGGGCGCGUAGGCGGCCAACUAAGUCAGACGUGAAAUCCCUCGGCUUAACCGGGGAACUGCGUCUGAUACUGGAUGGCUUGAGUGUGGGAGAGGGAUGCGGAAUUCCAGGUGUAGCGGUGAAAUGCGUAGAUAUCUGGAGGAACACCGGUGGCGAAGGCGGCAUCCUGGACCAUUACUGACGCUGAGGAGCGAAAGCCAGGGGAGCAAAGCGGG